rnacentral:rRNA from 1 species
UUGUUGGUAAGGUAAAAGCUUACCAAGGCUUCGAUCAGUAGCUGGUCUGAGAGGACGACCAGCCACACUGGGACUGAGACACGGCCCAGACUCCUACGGGAGGCAGCAGUGGGGAAUUUUGGACAAUGGGGGCAACCCUGAUCCAGCCAUGCCGCGUGAGUGAAGAAGGCCUUCGGGUUGUAAAGCUCUUUCAGCCGGAACGAAACGGUUACGGAUAACACCCGUGACUACUGACGGUACCGGAAGAAGAAGCACCGGCUAACUACGUGCCAGCAGCCGCGGUAAUACGUAGGGUGCGAGCGUUAAUCGGAAUUACUGGGCGUAAAGCGUGCGCAGGUGGUUUUGUAAGUCAGAUGUGAAAGCCCCGGGCUCAACCUGGGAACUGCGUUUGAAACUACAAGACUAGAGUGUGGCAGAGGGGGGUGGAAUUCCGCGUGUAGCAGUGAAAUGCGUAGAGAUGUGGAGGAACACCGAUGGCGAAGGCAGCCCCCUGGGUCAACACUGACGCUCAGGCACGAAAGCAUGGGGAGCAAACAGGAUUAGAUACCCUGGUAGUCCAUGCCCUAAACGAUGUCAACUAGUUGUCGGGCCUUUACGGGCUUGGUAACGUAGCUACGCGUGAAGUUGACCGCCUGGGGAGUACGAUCGCAAGAUUAAAACUCAAAUGAAUUGACGGGGACCCGCACAAGCAGUGGAUUAUGUGGAUUAAUUCGAUGCAACGCGAAAAACCUUACCUACCCUUGACAUGUAUCGAAGCCCGCAGAAAAGCGGGGGUGCCCGAAAGGGAACGAUAACACAGGUGCUGCAUGGCUGCCGUCAGCUCGUGUCGUGAGAUGUUGGGUUAAGUCCCGCAACGAGCGCAACCCUUGUCAUUAAUUGCCAUCAUUUAGUUGGGCACUUUAAUGAGACUGCCGG